rnacentral:tRNA from 1 species
GGUUCCAUAGUGUAACGGUUAUCACAUCUGCUUUAUACACAGAAGGUCCUGGGUUCAAGCCCCAGUGGAACCA